GGAAACCCAAGUUUGCACAAUCGAAACUAGUGUGAAACUAAUGUGAAUGUCAAGGUAAAAUUUCUGCGGAAUAGGUCCGAUAUGAAAUGAAUGAGAAAUUAUUAAUUUUCUAAAAAUAAGAGGCCAAGGGACAAAAAGAAAUGGAUGUGUAAAAACGACGACACCGGAAUGUACAUAAAUGAACAAGGCAUAGUUGAAUGAAGCGGAACGCCUGUGCAUACCGGAAAGCUUGCAACGGUGAGCUGGAACUGUGGCGACAAUUUUCACAAAGGAUAAUACAUAAAAGGCGACUCCGAGGGUUUUGUUUGAGCCCUUUCAAUGGCUGUUCAAAUGAUAGGAAAGAUGGGUACUCUUUGGGUUGCUGCGCUUUACAUAGAGAUUGAAGAGCACUCUAAAGAGAUACAAAAAAACAAUUAACAAUUAUUGUGUUUGAUAGAAAUUGUUAUAUGUUUAAUGUUAUGGCGCUGUAACACUAACGCUUUGCAGUUACUUAUGCCGACGUAUAUGAAUGUUUGCCAACACGGUGAAGACCCAUUUAAAAUUUGAUUUACUAGUGAUACAUUAUGGAUUAGAGCACAAUAAAGGUUUUAUAAAUCAUUUAAUAGUGAACAUAUCAAAAAUAGUAGUUGAUGUUAACCUAAUUAUCCGUUGGCC